AACGAACGCUGGCGGCAGGCCUAACACAUGCAAGUCGAGCGCCCCGCCAGGGGAGCGGCGGACGGGUGAGUAACGCGUGGGAAUAUGCCCUUUGCUACGGAAUAGUCUCGGGAAACUGGGGGUAAUACCGUAUACGCCCUUUGGGGGAAAGAUUUAUCGGCGAAGGAUUAGCCCGCGUUGGAUUAGGUAGUUGGUGGGGUAAUGGCCUACCAAGCCGACGAUCCAUAGCUGGUUUGAGAGGAUGAGCAGCCACACUGGGACUGAGACACGGCCCAGACUCCUACGGGAGGGAGCAGUGGGGAAUCUUAGACAAUGGGGGCAACCCUGAUCUAGCCAUGCCGCGUGAGUGAUGAAGGCCUUAGGGUUGUAAAGCUCUUUCAGCUGGGAAGAUAAUGACGGUACCAGCAGAAGAAGCCCCGGCUAACUCCGUG
rnacentral:rRNA from 1 species